rnacentral:rRNA from 1 species
UGGGGAAUAUUGCACAAUGGGCGCAAGCCUGAUGCAGCGACGCCGCGUGGAGGAUGAAGGUCUUCGGAUUGUAAACUCCUGUUGAGUGGGAAGAAAGACUGUUACUGAAUAAGUGACAGGGAUGACGGUACCACUAGAGAAAGCACCGGCUAACUUCGUGCCAGCAGCCGCGGUAAUACGAAGGGUGCAAGCGUUAUUCGGAGUUACUGGGCGUAAAGAGCGUGUAGGCGGCCUAUCAAGUCUGUUGUUAAAUCACCUGGCUCAACCGGGUAUCGGCAAUAGAAACUGAAAGGCUAGAGAGUAAGAGAGAGAAGUAGAAUUCUCGGAGUAGCGGUAAAAUGCGUAGAUCUCGAGAGGAAUACCGAUGGCGAAGGCAGCUUCUUGGCUUACAACUGACGCU